GAAACACUGUGCCGGUUGCUUGGAAAAAUAUAAACAUGGCGGAAUGACAACAACAGUUGCCAAGCUCAUAUUGGUCGAUAAACUCGAUAUUUGCAGGAGUUUUCAAGCAAAUAUAAUUUGUCAAGCUAUUUGUAUUACUUUAACGAGUAUUACUGCCUAAUGCUGUGAGCUAGGAGAUCUCAUCGUCGUAAGUCUGGAGAAAACAUUGUCUAAAAUCCACUUUUUGACUUUAUAAACUGCAGAGCAUCAUCGAAAAACAUGAGUGAGCAAUUGAAGUUUAUAGUCGACAAUCUCAACCAGAAACCAUUUAAUAAAAGCUACAAUUUGAUAAGGUAGGUGAUUUUUUAUUCUCAUUGCUGGAUAACAUUCUUUCGUUUUGUUGUGAAAGGAGGCAAAAAUAAAUUGUUGGAUUUAAUAGGUUUUGUAGGGGAA